rnacentral:rRNA from 1 species
AUUGAACGCUGGCGGCAUGCCUUACACAUGCAAGUCGAACGGUAACAGGUCUUCGUAUGCUGACGAGUGUCGAACGGUUGAGUAAUACAUCGGAACGUGCCCAGACGUUGGGGUUAACGAGUCGAAAGCUUUGCUAAUACCUCAUACGAUCUAAGGAUGACAGCCGGGGACCGCAAUGCCUUGCGCGUUUUGUUCGGCCGAUGGAGGAUUAGGUAGUUGGUUGGUUAAAAGCUUACCAAGCCGACGAUCUGUAGCUGGUCUGAGAGGAGGACCAGCCACACUGGAAGUGAGACACGGACAAGAGGACUACGGGAGGCAGCAGUGGGGAAUGUUGGACAAUGGGCGAAAGAAUGAUCCAGCAAUGCCGAGUGAAGGAUGAAGGCCUUCGGGUUGUAAAAUGCUUUUGUAAGGAAAGAAAAGGAUCUGGAUAAUAACUGGGGAACAUGACGGUAACGGAAGGAUAAGCACCGGCUAACUACGUG